rnacentral:pre_miRNA from 1 species
CUAGUAUGGAACUCCUCGGCAGUGUUCGCAAACCUGAAGCCCGUGGGGCAGAAUCUAGGAUGCGCACUGCCGAGGAUUUCCAUACUAGGA